UACGUAGGGUGCGAGCGUUAAUCGGAAUUACUGGGCGUAAAGCGUGCGCAGGCGGUUUUGUAAGCCAGAUGUGAAAGCCCCGGGCUCAACCUGGGAAUGGCAUUUGGGACUGCAAGGCUUGAGUGCGGCAGAGGAGACUGGAAUUCCUGGUGUAGCAGUGAAAUGCGUAGAUAUCAGGAGGAAUACCGAUGGCGAAGGCGGGUCUCUGGGCAACAACUGACGCUGAGGAGCGAAAGCGUGGGGAGCGAACAGG
rnacentral:rRNA from 1 species